rnacentral:misc_RNA from 1 species
GGCACGUGCUCCGACUGUGCUUCACAGAUGCUAUAUUGGUCAAUCUCAGGCACUGAUUCCGGGCACUUGGCAGGCUAGUUGAAUGUGAAGAUCAGUUACAGACAUGUUUAAAAAUAGCACAUAGUACAAGCCUAUGUGACCUUAAGGCAAGAGUUAUGUUCAAAAAGCUGUCAUCCAUUUGGCAGUCGUACAAGUACCGAUUCGUGCCAUGGAUUGCUUUGAACCUCAAGAAGAGGAGCGUGAGAGCGUGGAGAACGUCGCGUCAGACAAGGUCAUUCCAGAUGACCUCGUGUUGCAGCAGCUGACCUGCCUCACCUCCGCCCUCCGCUUUGCUCUCCCUCGCGCCCGCGCCCUGGAGGAGAAGCACCAGCUGGGCCUCCGGUGAGUGAGAUG